CCUACGGGAGGCAGCAGUGGGGAAUAUUGGGCAAUGGGCGCAAGCCUGACCCAGCAACGCCGCGUGAAGGAAGAAGGCUUUCGGGUUGUAAACUUCUUUUCUCAGGGACGAAGCAAGUGACGGUACCUGAGGAAUAAGCCACGGCUAACUACGUGCCAGCAGCCGCGGUAAUACGUAGGUGGCAAGCGUUAUCCGGAUUUACUGGCUGUAAGGGGCGUGUAGGCGGGACUGCAAGUCAGAUGUGAAAACCACGGGCUCAACCUGUGGCCUGCAUUUGAAACUGUAGUUCUUGAGUACUGGAGAGGCAGACGGAAUUCCUGGUGUAGCGGUGAAAUGCGUAGAUAUUAGGAGGAACACCAGUGGCGAAGGCGGUCUGCUGGACAGCAACUGACGCUGAGGCGCGAAAGCGUGGGGAGCAAACAGGAUUAGAUACCCUUGUAUC
rnacentral:rRNA from 1 species